UGUGGACUAGUGGUGGGGUUCAGAUUUCUGCGAGUCUCCAACUACCUAUUGCUCCCAUGGGAGUUGGGUGAGGGGCUGGGAUCAGUGUCGAUUCCAGUGGGCAGGGGAGCAGAAGCUCUGCACUGCCUUGAAAGGGUUCGGAACCGUCGGCCCAGCUGCUUAAUAAGUCGGGGUGAAUCGGGGGAGAGACUGGCAGUCCGGAGUUCUGAGGAAUUAUAAUGCUUUGCUAUCGGGAAAGAGCUGCCAGAGGGAACAGCUAGUGCAUAAGUUCUAAGCGGGGAGUCAAGGAUGAUUUUUGGCUGGAAGAACUGGAAAGAUGAAGUUCUGUUGACCAAAAUGAUAAGUGAGGAAGACAGAAGCAAGGAAGGUGGUAGUACAUCUUUAAAUGACUACUGGAUCAAAGAAAAUCAAGCAAAAGUUUUUUCUCUUAAGAGAAUAAUUAAAAACAACCUACCCAAAGAAAUGAAAUGCAGCAAAGCAACAAACAUACAAGGUUGACGUUAGAAAAAGGUUACUUUUGGUUGCCAAUUGCAAUGUAGUAAACGUAGUACUUUCUUAUUUGCAUUCCUAUUUCAUUAAUAGAAUUUUUGGUAAAGCAUCCUUUUCAAAUCUUAUGUAUCAUUGUAAAUCCUACAUGCUUCAGAAGGCUUAAGAGUAUUAUUUUGAUACUGGAGAUGGCUGUCUUGUAAUCAUGAAAACACAUCCCCAAAUCUUUGUCACACCUACAUAAGCAUCAUUAAGCAUUUUUUAGUGAAUCUCUAAUUUCAUUUUGACCGUAACACAUGCUUAACAGAACACAGCAAGUCCCUUAACUGAAAUUGUGGAAAAUUCUCAUGUGGCAAAUUGACUUUCUUUUAGUGUUUCAUUUUUAAUUGGUAAUUUAAAAUGUUAUAGACCAAGUGUGUUUUAAGCUUUGCAGGUAGGCAAAUGGUGUGAGCCAUUGAUAUGGUUUGGCUGUGUUCCCACCCAAAUCUCAUCUUGUAGUUUCCAUAAUCCCCGCAUGUCAUGGGAGGGACCAGGUGGAGUUAGUUGACUCAUUCGCAUCCUGUCCUAGUGAUAAUGAGUUCUCAUGAGAUUUGAUGGUUUUUUUUAUAAGGGGCUUCCUUCUCGCUGAGCACUCAUUCUUCAUGCAGCCAUGUGAAAAAAAAAAUGUGUUUGCUUCCCCUUCUGCCAUGAUUAUGAGUUUCCUGAGGACUUCUCAGCCAUGCGGAACUGUGAGUCAAUUAAAACUCCUUUGUAAAUUACCCAGUCUCAGUUAUUUCUCCAUAGCAGCUUGAGAACUACUAAGGCCAUCAUAGGAUCUGGAACCAAAACUGAGAAGCCUAGCCUUAGUCAUUUGCAAGAUACAUAAGCUUAUAAGAUAAUUCAGAUAAUAUGAAAUAAUGUGUAAGCAUGUUGUAAACUCCAUAUCAAUAUUAUUUACCGGUAAUUUAAAAAAUUCAUAUACCUUCUUAUAAGCAUUGCUAUUCUCUGUUCAUCUUUAUUGCUAAUAAAAAAUAUGUCCCUAAGAGGUUUAUCUUAUUUGUAUUCAUCUUAGUUUCUUCUGCAGGUAAUGCAUAUUAGCAAUUGCUGUUUACUAAUACUAUCAGCCUUUAAAAAUUCUUUUGAUAUUUAUUUUUACUUUUCUGUGCCGAUUAGUUUUCUAGGCAAUCACACUACUCUUAGUAAGCUCAGUGUUGAGAAUUCCUCAUUUAAUGCUUGAUUUUAAUUCUCAAACAGUUCCUGUGGUUAAUGUUUCACUUACUCAGGUAUCUCAAAGACUUUUCACCAGUCACAAGCACAAAGAGCCAUAUAAAAUUUUAAUUUUGUGUACUCUGAAGAGAGAUCUCUUCAAGGGUAGUGAAUCUCAGUAAUGCUUUCCAGCCUAAGUCACUUCACUGGCCUGCAAUCUACUCUGACUCAGCACAGAAGCCAGAGUUACAAUCUAAACCAGUCUUUAUCACUACUUUGCUCAUAACUGCCCCAUUCUCAGCUCAGAUUAAAGACCAUGUGUUCAUAAUAUAGGUCCUAGGGAAUCUGACUUCCUGACCCUCACCCUCACCCUCACAACUCUGCUUUCUCUGUCUUAGUCCAUUUUCUGGACUAAGCUUAUAACGGAAUACCUGAAACUGGGUAAUUUCAGCAAGUUACUUUUUAAUAGGUGACUAUUUGCCACUGCAUCAAAAGGUGUAAGUAGGAGAAUUUGUUAAAAGUACAUACAGUGAACAUUAUAUAUUCUUUUUACUGCUUCUACCAUCACCACAGAUGGUGCAGACACCUGUUUUGACCACUGGGUGGCAGAAGAGGAACCCAUACUUAAAAUUCAUGCAUUCUGUUGCUGAAGUUCUGAUAUACUGAAAUUACAGAAGCUUAAUCAUACUUGGUUGUUAGUACAGAAAAAUAAUUCAGGUCAGGAAUAAUACAGUUUGCCUCCCUGGAAA